UAGGGAAUCUUCGGCAAUGGGGGCAACCCUGACCGAGCAACGCCGCGUGAGUGAAGAAGGUUUUCGGAUCGUAAAGCUCUGUUGUAAGAGAAGAACGUGUGUGAGAGUGGAAAGUUCACACAGUGACGGUAACUUACCAGAAAGGGACGGCUAACUACGUGCCAGCAGCCGCGGUAAUACGUAGGUCCCGAGCGUUGUCCGGAUUUAUUGGGCGUAAAGCGAGCGCAAGCGGUUUAAUAAGUCUGAAGUUAAAGGCAGUGGCUUAACCAUUGUUCGCUUUGGAAACUGUUAAACUUGAGUGCAGAAGGGGAGAGUGGAAUUCCAUGUGUAGCGGUGAAAUGCGUAGAUAUAUGGAGGAACACCGGUGGCGAAAGCGGCUAUCUGGUCUGUAACUGACGCUGAGGCUCGAAAGCGUGGGGAGCAAACAGG
rnacentral:rRNA from 1 species